rnacentral:rRNA from 1 species
GACGAACGCUGGCGGCGUGCUUAACACAUGCAAGUCGAACGGUGAAGCUCCAGCUUGCUGGAGUGGAUCAGUGGCGAACGGGUGAGUAACACGUGAGCAACCUGCCCCAGACUCUGGAAUAAGCGCUGGAAACGGCGUCUAAUACUGGAUACGAGAUCAAGCCGCAUGGUUAUGGUCUGGAAAGUUUUUCGGUUUGGGAUGGGCUCGCGGCCUAUCAGCUUGUUGGUGAGGUAAUGGCUCACCAAGGCGACGACGGGUAGCCGGCCUGAGAGGGCGACCGGCCACACUGGGACUGAGACACGGCACAGACUCCUACGGGAGGCAGCAGUGGGGAAUAUUGCACAAUGGGCGAAAGCCUGAUGCAGCGACGCCGCGUGAGGGAUGACGGCCUUCGGGUUGUAAACCUCUUUCAGCAGGGAAGAAGCGAAAGUGACGGUACCUGCAGAAGAAGCACCGGCUAACUACGUG